GCCCGGAUAGCUCAGUCGGUAGAGCAGGGGAUUGAAAAUCCCCGUGUCGGCAGUUCGAUUCUGCCUCCGGGCACCA
rnacentral:tRNA from 1 species